CGCCUGCCACCUGCGCCGCUGGAGAGCCCCGCGCUGCCGUGGGGCGGCCGCGCCCGACGGGAGCAGGGAAAGUAACAAUUAUCAUGAUUUCUGACAGAAAAAUUGAACAUUUCUUCAUAACUGCUGGAAGAUUUCAUCCCUUAAUCCUGUAGUUGCCUCCAGUCAUAUGAAUUAUGGAAAUUACAUCAGUGAACACUUCAUCUUCUCUGGCUGGAAUUGACAGAUGGGAGUAGGAGUUGCGUAUAUAAAGGGGGUAGUGAAAAUGAACAAAGUGAUGGUUGCCUGCUGCCCCAGGGAGUUCUGCUGAUUGCAAUCUGUUAAAAAUUGUAUGAGAGAUUCUGCUGGAAAUGGGCAUGAUCCUAGAAAGCUGAACACAAGAGAAACAGGACACAAGACAAAAGGAAUU